GUGGGGAAUCUUGCGCAAUGGGCGAAAGCCUGAUCCAGCCAUGCCGCGUGAGUGAUGAAGGCCCUAGGGUUGUAAAGCUCUUUCACCGGGGAAGAUAAUGACGGUACCCGGAGAAGAAGCCCCGGCUAACUUCGUGCCAGCAGCCGCGGUAAUACGAAGGGGGCUAGCGUUGUUCGGAAUUACUGGGCGUAAAGCGCACGUAGGCGGACUAUUAAGUCAGGGGUGAAAUCCCGGGGCUCAACCCCGGAACUGCCAUUGAUACUGGUAGUCUAGAGUUCGAGAGAGGUGAGUGGAAUUCCGAGUGUAGAGGUGAAAUUCGUAGAUAUUCGGAGGAACACCAGUGGCGAAGGCGGCUCACUGGCUCGAUACUGACGCUGAGGUGCGAAAGCGUGGGGAGCAAACAGGAUUAGAAACCCCAGUAGUCC
rnacentral:rRNA from 1 species